rnacentral:rRNA from 1 species
GUGGGGAAUAUUGGACAAUGGGCGGAAGCCUGAUCCAGCCAUGCCGCGUGUGUGAAGAAGGCCUUUUGGUUGUAAAGCACUUUAAGCGAGGAGGAGGCUCUUAAGGUUAAUACCCUUGAUGAGUGGACGUUACUCGCAGAAUAAGCACCGGCUAACUCUGUGCCAGCAGCCGCGGUAAUACAGAGGGUGCGAGCGUUAAUCGGAUUUACUGGGCGUAAAGCGUGCGUAGGCGGCUGAUUAAGUCGGAUGUGAAAUCCCUGAGCUUAACUUAGGAAUUGCAUUCGAUACUGGUCAGCUAGAGUAUGGGAGAGGAUGGUAGAAUUCCAGGUGUAGCGGUGAAAUGCGUAGAGAUCUGGAGGAAUACCGAUGGCGAAGGCAGCCAUCUGGCCUAAUACUGACGCUGAGGUACGAAAGCAUGGGGAGCAAACAGGAUUAGAAACCCCAGUAGUCC